rnacentral:lncRNA from 1 species
UUGGAUUCCAUUUGUCAUCCUAAACCUCGUUCUUGGCUUAUUAUUGAUCGAAUCUUAAGAUAUUUUUCUCAACGAUCUAUUUUUUGAAUGAUGAAUUAUAAGAAGAAGUUUCUAUUAUACAAUCUGAGGGUUUUAUAGUUGAUGGGAAAGAUAAAAAGGUGUACAAGUUGAAGAAAGCUUUAUAUGGAUUGAAGCAAGCUCCAAAGGUGUGGUAUAAUAAGAUUGAUUCUUAUUUUCAUCAAAAUGGAUUUGAGAGAAGUGAGAAUGAACCC